AAAUGUUUUAACCUUUAUUUUUUUUAAAAAAAACCCAAAAAUGUUUUAUGAAAUUCCUUAUUCUCCCUUACUAUCCCUUUUGUCUUCCAGCCGAAAAGGCCACCAAUGGUUCACCCAACCGCCGCCGUGACUUCGGUGAGUUUCCCUUCGUCGACACGAGCACGACGUGGCUCCGGUGUUGUGAUGUCGUGGAGGAGUGCACGAUCGUGGGGCAUGGAUGCGCGAGAUAGAGGUCAUGUGUGGGCGUGCCGACGUACGUGGGAAGCUGAUCAUGGGGACUACAGCGCCAACUGCUUUCAGAACUCUUAGUGUUGCUAGAAUUUUAUGUUAUUGGCUUAGGCCAUUUGGGCCAGCUAGGGAGUUGGGCCACUACAAUUUGGGCUUGUUUAAAUUUGGGAUUAGUUUCUUUUUAGUUUUAAUUAUUUUUGCUUUUAUGUGUGUAUGGGCUAUAAUUGGGUAUUUGGACCGGGCAAAAAUUGGGUUUUACAAAGAAGUUUCAAAAUUUUCUUUUGUUAGAUAAGAA